rnacentral:rRNA from 1 species
GUGGGGAAUAUUGGGCAAUGGGCGCAAGCCUGACCCAGCAACGCCGCGUGAGGGAAGAAGGCUUUCGGGUUGUAAACCUCUGUCCUUGGUGACGAAAAAAAUGACGGUAGCCAAGGAGGAAGCCCCGGCUAACUACGUGCCAGCAGCCGCGGUAAUACGUAGGGGGCGAGCGUUGUCCGGAAUUACUGGGCGUAAAGGGUGCGUAGGUGGCCUUUUAAGUUGGAUGUGAAAUACCCGGGCUUAACUUGGGGGGUGCAUCCAAAACUGGGAGGCUAGAGUGCAGGAGAGGAAAGCGGAAUUCCUAGUGUAGCGGUGAAAUGCGUAGAUAUUAGGAGGAACACCAGUGGCGAAGGCGGCUCACUGGCUCGAUACUGACGCUGAGGUGCGAAAGCGUGGGGAGCAAACAGGAUUAGAAACCCGAGUAGUCC